UGUAAACAAACCGUUGCAUAUUUUCUCUGUAAUUAAUAUACUGAUUUCUCGAAAACUUGUACCGUGUUUAUCUUACAAUUAGUGGAAAUUGUUGAAAAAUAGUUUUUCUUAGCUGUUUCGAUGCUCCGAACCAAAAUUUAUUGUCAUUUAGUAGUGAAAAAAAACCGCUGAAGUACACCCUCUGUCAAUCUACCUGUGAGAGAGGUAAACCGAAUUAAUGAAAUUUGAUAUAAAAAUAUCCUGCGAGAGAGAGCGUGUGAAAUAUGGACGUCAAAAGCGGCGCAAAUUGCCCGGAGAACAUGCAAGUCGGACGAAAUUUGCUUGAAGCUGACUCCGAAAAAUCUGCAAAUUCAAAAGCCGUUUUGUUUGUGUCGUCCCCGGAUGUAAGCAGAAAUAUCGCCCCGGAAUUUCUUUUCAUGCCUUCCUUCCGAAAACGGACAAAUCGCGGUAUCUAGACUGGAUCCAACGACUACGGCUAAAGAUAGAACCUACAAAAACCUCCCGUAUUUGUAGCCUCCAUUUCACCGUGUCGAACUUCUACUCUCCAACAACAAGCCGUGCCACUGAUCGCUUAAUUCUUAGGCCAUCAGCAGUUCCCGACUUGAAUUUGCCACAACCUCCCAUCAGCGAAGCCAGGAAAAGACUUAUUGAGGGCCGUGCUUUUGAAAAAGUGUAAAACAGUCCAACUUGGU